UAUCUUGGCAUUUACCAAUUUACUUGUCAUCUUCGUCCCAACUAUUAGGGAUAUCUUUGGUUUUAUUGGUAAGUUUUAGAAAGUAUCCAAGUUGAUUCAAACAUCAGGGGUUUUAAGAUUUAAAGAAUGAAUGACAAGUGGUUCAUUGAAUCCUCAAGAAACAUAAAUGUUCUUUUACAGGUGCAUCUGCAGCUUCUAUGUUGAUUUUUAUUCUUCCUUCUGCCUUCUAUAUCAAGUUGGUGAAGAAAGAACCUAUGAAAUCUGUACAAAAGAUUGGGGCUUUGUUCUUCCUGUUAAGUGGCGUACUGGUGAUGACCGGAAGCAUGGCCUUGAUUGUCUUGGAUUGGGUACACAAUGCACCUGGAGGUGGCCAUUAAGUGGCACCACUCAAACUCAAACUCAGUCCAUCUGAUGCCAGUGUUGAGUAAACUCAACUACUAUGAAAUUUCACCUAAUGUUUUCAGUUUCACUUCCUUUUGAAGUGCAGAUUCCUCGCUGGUUCUUCUGAGUGCAGAAUAAGUGAACUUU
rnacentral:sRNA from 1 species